rnacentral:tRNA from 1 species
GCUUCGCUAGCUCAAUCGGUAGAGCGUGUGGCUUUUAACCUCAAGGUUGCGGGUUCGAGCCCCGCGUGAAGCU